rnacentral:rRNA from 1 species
GAUGAACGCUAGCGAUAGGCUUAACACAUGCAAGUCGAGGGGCAGCAUGGUCUUAGCUUGCUAAGGCUGAUGGCGACCGGCGCACGGGUGCGUAACGCGUAUGCAACUUGCCUCACAGAGGGGGAUAACCCGUCGAAAGACGGACUAAUACCGCGUACACUCUAUGUUGGGCAUCCAAUGUAAAGGAAAUGAAAUUCGCUGUGAGAUAGGCAUGCGUCCCAUUAGCUAGUUGGUGAGGUAACGGCUCACCAAGGCGACGAUGGGUAGGGGAACUGAGAGGUUGAACCCCCACACUGGUACUGAGACACGGACCAGACUCCUACGGGAGGCAGCAGUGAGGAAUAUUGGUCAAUGGGCGAGAGCCUGAACCAGCCAAGUCGCGUGAAGGAUGACUGUCUUAUGGAUUGUAAACUUCUUUUAUACGGGAAUAACAAGAGUCACGUGUGGCUCCCUGCAUGUACCGUAUGAAUAAGCAUCGGCUAACUCCGUG